rnacentral:lncRNA from 1 species
AAACAGAAGAAUCCAGAGGGGAGGGACCCUAGAUACAGACACCCCAAAGAUGGAACUUGAAGUGAUCUUCCUUCGAAGCAUGGUGGCUGGGGUCACUCUGAGUAGCAUAUUUCUGGCUGUCCUGGGACUCACUUUGGAGCCAAGUUUUUGGCCUUGGAACCUACAGAGAUCCUCCAGCCUUGGCUGAAAGGCUGGGAUUAAAGCCACCACACUCUGUUCAUUGCCGUUUCCAAAAGAAAGUAAUCUAUAGGUGUGGUGAGGGUGGUGCAGAGACCAGUCGGUACCCACAGGGCUGAUCCCUCCCGCCCUGCACAGAAGGGCAGUUCUGGGCUUUUGUGUAUCUGAGUGACCUUGGCCUACAGCUGCCCUGCAGGUUGAUGUAAGGGACCAUGGCCAGGACUGCCUCUUUCCCCUGAACAGCCCCUACUUAAUCCAGGGCUCUUUUCUUUGCAAAGACACCUUCCUCAAACUGGUUGGCAGCCUGGAAGCUGCCCUGUGAGCCUCCCUAAGAAGAAACAACAUAAAAUUUACAAAAAAAAAAAAAAAAAAAAAAAAAAAAAGACAAAAACUUUUCCUGUCAACGUAACUAGCUAGGGUAAUAAGAAAUGCCGGUUAGGUUACACACACUGAAUUCACCUUAGUGUAAGCAGGCUUUGGCUACGGAAUCAAUUCCUACAGAGCACAGUAGAGACCCAAGGGCCCAGCCACCCUUAUCGUCCACUGCCCUCCUCCCCAUAGCUCCAUGUCCGCUCUCUUUUCCCUGACAUCCCGAGGGUCUCGGGAUCACGAGAUGUUGCAUCUAGCCCGAGUGUGCCCAUGCCGUUUUCCACCCAUGAGCUUCGCCCACGCCACGAACACAGCAUGGUCUCCCUGUUGUGCAAUGAGCACCCGGAUUCCUCAAGCGGUCGCUGGGCUUAAUGGCCCAGCCGCAGCCCUUCCCAACCCGGAGGCAGGAGAUCGUGUGGAUUCCAUGGCCUCACGGAUGCCUGGCCAGUGUUCUACCACAGAGCUGUCUUUUCAUCAAGCAAGCAUGGGAGAUUCUUGGGGCUCUUAUAAGUGGUAGGAUUCUGAUCCAGUGAUCUGGGUGGAGGCUGAGAGUCUUUGUUCCGUUGAGACUCCCAGGCAGGGUUGAUGGAUCUGUGAAGACCACACUUUGAGAGACACGGCUCUGGGUUUGCAGAAGCAUAAAUGUCAGCUGAUGGGUCUGUUGACAGUGACUCAGCACAGGAGUAUGCAGACAUUAAAUAAGCCCAAGGACUGGAUUGUAUAGAUUUCAGCUCGAAGCAGCAGAGGUUGAAACCAACGGCCACGUUCCCCAGCACUACCAGAAAUCCUUCUGGAUGUACUCUUGGGCCAAGCAGUGUGGACACAGUGAUCUAUCCAGGCUCUCUGCCUCAGCCCUUGCUGCUUUAAGUAUCAUCAUCUCAGGGGCUGAGGGUGUGGCUCCUCGGCUAAGAGUAUUUGCCUAGCAUGUGGGAAGAUUUCAAGAACUACUUAAAGUAUGUCUGGCGGUGCUCACCCGUGAUCCUAGCACUCAGGAGGUGGAGGCAGGAGGAUUAAGAAGUUGAAGGUCAACCUUGGCUACAUAGUGAUUUUUGAGGCUAGCCUGAGCUAUGAGAAACACAAAAUACCCUAUUGUCUCGUAUUUGGCCCAUGGAGAGCUAUCACAUAGUUCUCAACUCCCCUCAGAAUUUGGUCCCCGGGGGCUGGUGAGAUGGCUCAGUGGGUAAGAGCACCCUACUGUUCUUCCGAAGGUCCAGAGUUCAAAUCCCAGCAACCACAUGGUGGCUCACAGCCAUCUGUAACAAGAUCUGACUCCCUCUUCUGGAGUGUCUGAAGACAGCUACAGUGUACUUACAUAUAAUAAAUAAAUAAAUCUUUAAAAAAAAAAAAAGAAU